UCAAAGGUUGGCCUUGAUGAUCUUGGAGGAUCACCUUAGUGAUCCUGUGACUAUAGCAAGCUCCUCUGACAGACCUAAGCAAGGGGAGAUGGUGAGUCAGAUCUGGGAUAUGUCUAGGAGAUUCCAGUCAGGAAUGGAGUCCAGGAGACUGGACUGGAGAUGGACCUACCCAGUGUUGGGAUCUGCACAAAAUCGUACCAGCCCUGAAUGAAGGUGGGAGAGUGGCAAAUGGGCUGCUGUGCAGAGACACAGCUGGAGAUCAGCUCCAAUACAGGGAAAAGAAUGUGGAUUAAGAGCUCCUCAAGUGAGAAAAGGAGAGAUGGAAAUGAAGGGUGUGCACUUCUGGUGUAUCCUCACCUUCGUGGAGAUUUCUACACGUGCUGCGUUAAAAACAUCCCGUUUGAGAGAUACAUCCAGUGCCUUCCACACCAGUCACAAACCUCUGCUGCACUUUGGUUUUGGAUUUCCCUCCCUCAGAGAUGAGGCAGAGCACGGGGAGCUGGAGCAGCACUUCACCUGCUGCCUUCCAAGGAGGGAACAAAGAGAGAUGUGGACGUGUUGGGAAAGCUCUGUGAUA